rnacentral:rRNA from 1 species
UGCGUAGGCGGCGUUUUAAGUCAGUGGUGAAAACCUGCAGCUCAACUGUAGAAUUGCCAUUGAAACUGAAGCGCUUGAGUUAUCUUGAGGUAGGCGGAAUGUGUAGUGUAGCGGUGAAAUGCUUAGAUAUUACACAGAACACCGAUUGCGAAGGCAGCUUACUAAGGGUAAACUGACGCUGAUGCACGAAAGCGUGGGGAUCGAACAGGAUUAGAUACCCUGGUAGUCCACGCCGUAAACGAUGAUGACUCGCUGUUGGCGAUACACAGUCAGCGGCUUAGCGAAAGCGUUAAGUCAUCCACCUGGGGAGUACGCUCGCAAGAGUGAA